rnacentral:rRNA from 1 species
CGCCAGACUCCUACGGGAGGCAGCAGUGGGGAAUAUUGCACAAUGGGGGAAACCCUGACGCAGCGACGCCGCGUGAGUGAAGAAGUAAUUCGUUAUGUAAAGCUCUAUCAGCAGGGAAGAAAAUGACGGUACCUGAGUAAGAAGCCCCGGCUAACUACGUGCCAGCAGCCGCGGUAAUACGUAGGGGGCAAGCGUUAUCCGGAUUUACUGGGUGUAAAGGGAGCGUAGACGGCAGUGCAAGUCUGGAGUGAAAGCCCGGGGCUCAACCCCGGGACUGCAUUUGAAACUGUCAGGCUGGAGUGCAGGAGAGGUAAGUGGAAUUCCUGGUGUAGCGGUGAAAUGCGUAGAUAUUAGGAGGAACACCGGUGGGGAAGGCGGCCUGCUGGACUGUAACUGACGUUGAGGCUCGAAAGCGUGGGGAGCAAACAGGAUUAGAUACCCGUGUAC